rnacentral:rRNA from 1 species
GAUCAUGGCUCAGGACGAACGCUGGCGGCGCGCCUAACACAUGCAAGUCGAACGGAGUUAUUUUGGCAGAAGCCUUCGGGCAGACGCUGAUAUAACUUAGUGGCGAACGGGUGAGUAACACGUGAGUAACCUGCCCUUCAGAGGGGGACAACAGUUGGAAACGACUGCUAAUACCGCAUAAGACCACGGUGUGGCAUCACACAGAGGUCAAAGGAGAAAUCCGCUGAAGGAUGGGCUCGCG